CCUACGGGUGGCUGCAGUGGGGAAUAUUGGACAAUGGGGGGAACCCUGAUCCAGCCAUGCCGCGUGUGUGAAGAAGGCCCUCGGGUUGUAAAGCACUUUCAGUGAGGAAGAACGCCUGGUGGUUAAUACCCAUCAGGAAAGACAUCACUCACAGAAGAAGCACCGGCUAACUCCGUGCCAGCAGCCGCGGUAAUACGGAGGGGGCGAGCGUUAAUCGGAAUUACUGGGCGUAAAGCGCGCGUAGGUGGCUUGAUAAGCCGGUUGUGAAAGCCCCGGGCUCAACCUGGGAACGGCAUCCGGAACUGUCAAGCUAGAGUGCAGGAGAGGAAGGUAGAAUUCCCGGUGUAGCGGUGAAAUGCGUAGAGAUCGGGAGGAAUACCAGUGGCGAAGGCGGCCUUCUGGACUGACACUGACACUGAGGUGCGAAAGCGUGGGUAGCAAACAGGAUUAGAUACCCCUGUAGUC
rnacentral:rRNA from 1 species